rfam:Arabidopsis lyrata subsp. lyrata unplaced genomic scaffold ARALYscaffold_3, whole genome shotgun sequence.
UGUCCGAUGCCACGUCGACGGUAGCUUAAGGGCAAUGAUCCUCGAUGCUACAUUGGACAUAAACAAAUGUACGUGUUUCGCUUACUGAUAGGAACCUGUGGAUCUUGAUUUUAUACGAUCUACGGAGCCAUUUUGGCGAUUACAUUA